AGCGAACGCUGGCGGCAGGCUUAACACAUGCAAGUCGAGCGGGCACUUCGGUGUCAGCGGCAGACGGGUGAGUAACACGUGGGAACGUACCCUUCGGUUCGGAAUAACGCUGGGAAACUAGCGCUAAUACCGGAUACGCCCUUUUGGGGAAAGGUUUACUGCCGAAGGAUCGGCCCGCGUCUGAUUAGCUAGUUGGUGGGGUAAUGGCCUACCAAGGCGACGAUCAGUAGCUGGUCUGAGAGGAUGAUCAGCCACACUGGGACUGAGACACGGCCCAGACUCCUACGGGAGGCAGCAGUGGGGAAUAUUGGACAAUGGGCGCAAGCCUGAUCCAGCCAUGCCGCAUGAGUGAUGAAGGCCUUAGGGUUGUAAAGCUCUUUUGUCCGGGACGAUAAUGACGGUACCGGAAGAAUAAGCCCCGGCUAACUUCGUG
rnacentral:rRNA from 1 species